rnacentral:rRNA from 1 species
UACGGAGGAUGCGAGCGUUAUCCGGAUUUAUUGGGUUUAAAGGGUGCGUAGGCGGGUUAUCAAGUCAGCGGUAAAGUCGUGGAGCUCAACUCCAUCCAGCCGUUGAAACUGAUGAUCUUGAGUGGGCGAGAAGUAUGCGGAAUGCGUGGUGUAGCGGUGAAAUGCAUAGAUAUCACGCAGAACUCCGAUUGCGAAGGCAGCAUACCGGCGCCCGACUGACGCUGAAGCACGAAAGCGUGGGUAUCGAACAGG